CCUACGGGAGGCAGCAGUGGGGAAUAUUGGACAAUGGGGGGAACCCUGAUCCAGCCAUGCCGCGUGUGUGAAGAAGGCCCUCGGGUUGUAAAGCACUUUCAGUGAGGAAGAACGCCUGGUGGUUAAUACCCAUCAGGAAAGACAUCACUCACAGAAGAAGCACCGGCUAACUCCGUGCCAGCAGCCGCGGUAAUACGGAGGGUGCGAGCGUUAAUCGGAAUUACUGGGCGUAAAGCGCGCGUAGGUGGCUUGAUAAGCCGGUUGUGAAAGCCCCGGGCUCAACCUGGGAACGGCAUCCGGAGCUGUCAAGCUAGAGUGCAGGAGAGGAAGGUAGAAUUCCCGGUGUAGCGGUGAAAUGCGUAGAGAUCGGGAGGAAUACCAGUGGCGAAGGCGGCCUUCUGGACUGACACUGACACUGAGGUGCGAAAGCGUGGGUAGCAAACAGGAUUAGAUACCCCGGUAGUC
rnacentral:rRNA from 1 species